rnacentral:tRNA from 1 species
AUACAUUUGAGUGUUUUCGUGCACUGGGAUCUUUGGUUUCCUCGGUUCCAUUUUAUUAAAUUGGAGAAUGUA